UCGUCCUGUGGGCAGAGCUCGGGGUCAGGGCCUCCGCGGACACCGCGCCAUCACCCCGCCCCUCUCCUCACGGGACAGGUGGCGACUGAUAACACCCACCUCACAAGUCAUCACACAGGAGCCUGUGCCCAGGGCUCCACACACUUCUCACGCCCCACGAGACAGGCACGAGUGUCAUCCUUAUUUUAAAAUGGGGAAACUGAGGCUCAAGGAGGGGGCACAGCUUUCCAAGGCCACAUGGCUGAUAAGGGGACGGGCUGGGAUUUGAACCCCAGUCCGGCUGGCUCCAGUAGGGCCCCCAAGGUGAGCCACUGGGGGUGGAAACUAUGAGCACCCCAAGUUCAAUGGCUUUUAAGCUCAGCCUUCUCUAAUUUCUCUUUGUGUGUUGUUUCAGUAAUGGCUAUCCUUUAAGGAGUGCUUUCUUGUCUUUCCCUUUUUUAAAUUUUAUUUUAGAGAGAGCAGAGAGAGAGAGAGAGAGAGAGAGGGAGAGAGAAUCCCGAGCAGGCUCCAAGCUCAGUGCGGAGCCCCAUACGGGGCUCGAUCCUACGACCCUGGGAUCACGCCCUGAGCCGCCACCAAGAGUUGGACGCUCAACUGACUGAGCCACCGAGGCGCCCCCGAGGAGUUCUUCCUAAGGCCGAGGAAACGGGUUCCAGGGCGUUAGGCGUCCCGCCCGAGGCCACACGGCCUCCAGCCCUUCCAUCCGGCAUCUCGCACAAACGUGCCCCAGUCCUGGGCUUCGAAGCACACGCACAGCCCUCCGUCUGCCCUCAGCCGGGAAGGAAGGAGACGUUUGAUGUGUCGGCAGGAGGCCCCAUAACUGCUCUGCCCUUUAGUCUCCAGCCCCCACAUCCUGGCACGCGCUGGGCGCUCGCGUGUGCACAGGGACAUAGAGCUUGCACUUAUUAAACACUUACUGUCUGCGAG